rnacentral:rRNA from 1 species
AGCGAACGCUGGCGGCAGGCUUAACACAUGCAAGUCGAGCGGGCAUCCUUGUGGUGUCAGCGGCAGACGGGUGAGUAACGCGUGGGUACGUGCCCUUCGGUUCGGAAUAACUCAGGGAAACUUGAGCUAAUACCGGAUACGUGCGAGAGCAGAAAGGUUUAUCUGCCGAAGGAUCGGCCCGCGUCUGAUUAGCUAGUUGGUGAGGUUAUGGCUCACCAAGGCGACGAUCAGUAGCUGGUCUGAGAGGAUGAUCAGCCACACUGGGACUGAGACACGGCCCAGACUCCUACGGGAGGCAGCAGUGGGGAAUAUUGGACAAUGGGGGCAACCCUGAUCCAGCCAUGCCGCGUGAGUGAUGACGGCCUUAGGGUUGUAAAGCUCUUUUCUUCGGGACGAUAAUGACGGUACCGGAGGAAUAAGCCCCGGCUAACUUCGUG